rnacentral:rRNA from 1 species
GAUGAACGCUGGCGGCGUGCCUAAUACAUGCAAGUCGAGCGAACAGACGAGGAGCUUGCUCCUCUGACGUUAGCGGCGGACGGGUGAGUAACACGUGGAUAACCUACCUAUAAGACUGGGAUAACUUCGGGAAACCGGAGCUAAUACCGGAUAAUAUAUUGAACCGCAUUGUUCAAUAGUGAAAUACGGUUUUGCUGUCACUUAUAGAUGGAUCCGCGCCGCAUUAGCUAGUUGGUAAGGUAACGGCUUACCAAGGCAACGAUGCGUAGCCGACCUGAGAGGGGGAUCGGCCACACUGGAACUGAGACACGGUCCAGACUCCUACGGGAGGAAGCAGUAGGGAAUCUUCCGCAAUGGGCGAAAGCCUGACGGAGCAACGCCGCGUGAGUGAUGAAGGUCUUCGGAUCGUAAAACUCUGUUAUUAGGGAAGAACAAAUGUGUAAGUAACUAUGCACGUCUUGACGGUACCUAAUCAGAAAGCCACGGCUAACUACGUG